AAUAUUGCACAAUGGGCGAAAGCCUGAUGCAGCGACGCCGCGUGAGGGAUGACGGCCUUCGGGUUGUAAACCUCUUUCAGCAGGGAAGAAGCGAAAGUGACGGUACCUGCAGAAGAAGCGCCGGCUACCUACGUGCCAGCAGCCGCGGUAAUACGUAGGGCGCAAGCGUUGUCCGGAAUUAUUGGGCGUAAAGAGCUCGUAGGCGGCUUGUCGCGUCGGUUGUGAAAGCCCGGGGCUUAACCCCGGGUCUGCAGUCGAUACGGGCAGGCUAGAGUUCGGUAGGGGAGAUCGGAAUUCCUGGUGUAGCGGUGAAAUGCGCAGAUAUCAGGAGGAACACCGGUGGCGAAGGCGGCAUCCUGGACCGGCAUUGACGCUGAAUAGCGAAAGCCAGGGGAGCAAAC
rnacentral:rRNA from 1 species